UCUACCUUCUUGAGAUGCAGCC
rnacentral:siRNA from 1 species